UGGCAAAAUGAACGAGGGUGACAGCCA
rnacentral:piRNA from 1 species